rnacentral:tRNA from 1 species
CAGGGAGACAACAAAAUGUUUAAUAUUAUUAUUUUGUCACCUUAGGUCGAUCGGUAUCUCACGUUUUUAAUUUAUUAAGAAUUUCAUUUCCUAAGUUUUUCUAGGUCACACCCAUUAUUUUUCCUGGGCCAUUAGCUCAGGUGGUUAGAGCGCACCCCUGAUAAGGGUGAGGUCCCUGGUUCAAGUCCAGGAUGGCCCAUAUCUCUAUGUUGGGGGUAUAGCUCAGUUGGUAGAGCGCCUGCUUUGCAAGCAGGAUGUCAGCGGUUCGAGUCCGCUUACCUCCACUGAUUACCACCUCUUCCAUAACCGGUAGAAAGGAAAUGUUUUGAGUUGUGAUCAAAUUCUUAAAGAAUCUAGCUUCCUAAUGAAAUCAUUAAGAUGCUGGACUCAUUGAAUUAAUUUCAUUGUUUUCAGAGAACCUUGACAACUGCAUAGAUUAUUUUUAAAGACAAUAGGCAUCUUUAAUGAUGCAGAUUUAUUAUUUGUGCGAAUGCAUUAAUAACAAUUCUAUUAAGCUGAUGCUUCAAUUUUUGAAGUUAUU